rnacentral:rRNA from 1 species
GUCCUGGCAGUAAACGGUGCGCGUUUGGUGUGGGAGGAUUCGACCCCUUCUGUGCCGGAGCUAACGCGUUAAACGCGCCGCCUGGGGAGUACGGUCGCAAGAUUAAAACUAAAGAAAUUGACGGGGCCGCACAAGCGGUGGAGUAUGUGGCUUAAUUCGAUGCAACGCGAAGAACCUUACCUAGCCUUGACAUGCAUCUCUAAGUCGGUGAAAGCCGGCGACUGUAGCAAUACAGAAUUUGCACAGGUGCUGCAUGGCUGUCGU